UUUCCGUAGGUGAACCUGCGGAAGGAUCAUUAUUGUAUAACCGAGGUGCGAGGGCUGUCGCUGACCCGAAAGGUCGUGCACGCCCGAGUGCCCUCACACACAUCCAUCUCACCCCUAUGUGCACCACCGCGUGGGUCACCCUUUGGCUUGUUCGGAGGGGGGCUUACGUUGUCACACAAACUUUGUAUGCAGUGUAGAAUGUAUUUUUUGUUUUUGCGAUCACGCAAUCAAUACAACUUUCAACAACGGAUCUCUUGGCUCUC
rnacentral:misc_RNA from 1 species